rnacentral:rRNA from 1 species
GACGAACGCUGGCGGCGUGCCUAAUACAUGCAAGUCGAACGGUCUUUUCUAUGGAAGCUUGCUUCCACUGAGAAGAUAGUGGCGAACGGGUGAGUAACACGUGGGUAACCUGCCCAUAAGAGGGGGAUAACAUCCGGAAACGGGUUCUAAUACCGCCUAGGUUUGUUGAUCGCAUGAGCGGAAAAGGAAAGACGGCCUUUGUGCGGUCGAUUAUGGAGGGACUCGCGGCGUAUUAGUUAGUUGGUGAGGUAACGGCUCACCAAGACGAUGAUACGUAGCCGACCUGAGAGGGUGAUCGGCCACAUUGGGACUGAGACACGGCCCAAACUCCUACGGGAGGCAGCAGUAGGGAAUCUUCCGCAAUGGACGAAAGUCUGACGGAGCAACGCCGCGUGAGUGAAGAAGGCUUUCGGAUCGUAAAACUCUGUUGUCAGAGAAGAACAAGUCGGAGAGUAACUGCUCCGGCCUUGACGGUAUCUGACCAGAAAGCCACGGCUAACUACGUGCCAGCCGCCGCGGUAAGAC